rnacentral:rRNA from 1 species
AGUGAACGCUGGCGGUAGGCCUAACACAUGCGAGUCGAACGGCAGCACAGUAAGAGCUUGCUCUUACGGGUGGCGAGUGGCGGACGGGUGAGGAAUACAUCGGAAUCUACUUUUUCGUGGGGGAUGACGUAGGGAAACUUACGCUAAUACCGCAUACGACCUACGGGUGAAAGCAGGGGAUCUUCGGACCUUUCGCGAUUGAAUGAGCCGAUGUCGGAUUAGCUAGUUGGCGGGGUAAAGGCCCACCAAGGCGACGAUCCGUUGCUGGUCUGAGAGGAUGAUAAGCCACAUUGGAACUGGGACACGGUCAAGACUCCUACGGGAGGCAGCAGUGGGGAAUAUUGGACAAUGGGCGCAAGCCUGAUCCAGCCAUACCGCGUGGGUGAAGAAGGCCUUCGGGUUGUAAAGCCCUUUUGUUGGGAAAGAAAAGCAGCAGGUUAAUACCCCGCUGUUCUGACGGUACCCAAAGAAUAAGCACCGGCUAACUUCGUG